rnacentral:rRNA from 1 species
GACGAACGCUGGCGGCGUGCCUAAUACAUGCAAGUAGAACGCUGAAGGAGGAGCUUGCUCUUCUGGAUGAGUUGCGAACGGGUGAGUAACGCGUAGGUAACCCGCCUGGUAGCGGGGGAUAACUAUUGGAAACGAUAGCUAAUACCGCAUAACAGUAGAUGUUGCAUGACAUUUACUUAAAAGGUGCAAUUGCAUCACUACCAGAUGGACCUGCGUUGUAUUAGCUAGUUGGUGGGGUAACGGCUCACCAAGGCGACGAUACAUAGCCGACCUGAGAGGGUGAUCGGCCACACUGGGACUGAGACACGGCCCAGACUCCUACGGGAGGCAGCAGUAGGGAAUCUUCGGCAAUGGACGGAAGGCUGACCGAGCAACGCCGCGUGAGUGAAGAAGGUUUUCGGAUCGUAAAGCUCUGUUGUAAGAGAAGAACGAGUGUGAGAGUGGAAAGUUCACACUGUGACGGUAUCUUACCAGAAAGGGACGGCUAACUACGUG